UUAAACCAAUUCUUCGAACUUCUAGUAAGCUUCUUCUGGCGUAUUUAUUGAUGCGUAGAAAGACCAUCCAUAGCGCCGAUUUUCAAAGAUGGCCAUACAAAAUAAUCGACCAAUUUCGAAACUCACCUCCAUUGUAAAGCUUUUUGAGUGCAUUUUUAAAGCUAAAUUAGUUUUUGGUGGGGUUGUUCAAAGCAGGUUUACUGUUCCUAACCUGACUUUAUUUGUCGGCGAUUGUCUUGCAGAUCAUCAAGCGGCGGAUUUCGUGACGUGGCGUCUAAGCCGGCCGAGUGCAGCGAAUCGCACAAUGAACAGCAGAUGUUGCCGGACGACUUCAGAACUCGUUCUUUCCAGAAAAUCUUUUGUAUACCACACAACCUUUAUUUAUUCUAUACAUAUAUAUAACUUUAUACUUCUAUAAUAUAUACCUGGAAAUAUAUCGCCGUUUAAUCCAGAGUGUUUCACGGGAAUUCGAACCUACGUACUCAGGUAGCCAGGCGGCAACCAAUUCAGCUACAGGGCUGCCUACUGUUUCAUUUCCUAUUAUUAUUUACUACUACUCAGGCGUGAGCAAAAGGAAGAUCUUCUCGCUGUAUCAGAAGCAGGCCGUUGGCAGAUGGACUAACAUGGAUAUCUGCAAAAUAACUCAACAAACGAGGCCCAAUUUCAACAAAUCUCGAGUUCACGGGUUGCCUUGAAAGCCACGAGUAGAGAUAUUCAGAAUUACAUCAAAACUAGUCUGCCACUAACGUUUGGGAGACCAUGCCAGGAAGCGGUGGUGACCGUACAACGAUAGAUGUAGAAGGUGCAAACAAAAAUAAUCUUAGGAAACCGUCUUUCACUAUCUGUGAAAGACGUUCGUUUGAUCAUCCACUGGAAAGGCCGGUGGAACAGAUCACCACAAGGUAGAUGUACGCAUGGGACCAUUCUUGCGACUUAGGAAGAAAGGAACCAUAGAGAAACAAACUUCCACGCAACUCAGUUCCUUUCAAUUUCAAUUCCGACAGUACCAUCGUUCUAUUAAA